rnacentral:ncRNA from 1 species
AAUAGUGGCGAUUUCUACCGGAUUGCGGGCCACGUUAAAUAAGCUGCUAAAAAGGUUUGGGUAGA